AGUUCCUUCUUUGCCUUUAAGUACUAAGUGGAUCUGUGAUUUUAGGCAAGUGAUUGUCCCUUUCUGGGCCUGUGGUUUUUUUGUUUGUUUUACUUUUUUGUUUUUUAAUUAUCAUGACCAAAAGUCUUUUAUUAUUAACAACAAUUGCACACUUUUUGUUGGGAAAAAAGGUAUACAAAUUAUAAAACAGUUAACAAUGUUUCCUUAAGGAGAGAAGUGUUAAUGCUCUUCUCUAAUUAUGCUUUUAAUGGUAUUUUGUUCUAUUUUUUUAUUUUCAAUAGCUUCUUUAUUUCCCUUGGGAUAUUGAAGCUUUACUUAAUCUUAUUCUUUCUAAGUAGGGUAGAGAAUUCCUGUUUCAAGUCUCCACAAAACAAAAUCCCUUUUCUUGACAUAGUAGAAAGGACAGGUGCUUGGAUGUUUGGUUGGCAGGGGAAAGGAAAGAGUCCAGGUGCUACUGAUAGAAAUAUUCAACCAAAUCCUCCAGUUUUCGACUCCACCACUCACUGUGGUGCCUUCCUCAAGACCUUGGAGCUCCAAGUCUCUGAAGAAUAUUUCAGGCAAUGAGAGGAGUCCCUGACUAAGGUAAAACCCUCCUCUCUGUCUCUUUCUGUGUGCGUGUAUAUGUAUGUAUAUGUAUAUGUAUAUGUAUAUGUAUAUACAUAUACAUAUUCUAUUGCUGCUUCCUCCUUAAACUCCACUAGAAUAACAAUGAAAGGUAUUUAACAUAUUAAUCCACCAAUGUGAAUAGUUGAGAGAUGCCAACAAUUUGAAAGAUGGAAAAGAGGUCUGCAAAUGCUCAUUGUCGUAGCACAGCUGAGAAAGCUCACUGAGGCGCUGAGAGUGAGAUGCGAAGGGACGGCCAGUGCAACACGGGCCUGUGUGUUUUUAUGGACAGUAUGAAGGUAUUGAAACUGAUCAGUAGUCUUCAAACAUUUUCUUUCUUUCUUUUUUUUUUUUUCUUUUAGCAGGGAGAUCUAUUUCUCAAGUGAAAGGUAACUGAAACUGUCAUGCAUGAAACAAGCCCAAGCAAGCAGCUGCAGUUGCAUGGUCAGCUGAGCCAAGGGCAGAGAGAUGAGCCAGAUGGGCUUCCCGCCCCUGGAGGGAGCCCCCAUCCCCAGAGGGCAGACUCUGACACUCCUUCCCAGGUUCUUGGGGCAUCACCAAAAAGAGUGGAAAUCCCUACAUGUUUUAUCUCCAAGGGUCUCUAACCUUCUGUAACACUGCUCUGUGAAUGCAAUGAGACCAUGUAAGAAAAGCACUGAGUAAAACCAAGAGCCUCAUGUUUUGUUGCUAUGCUGAUUUUAAUCUUUGAAGGUAAAGGGCCCUUGUAUCUGACCUGCAAAGCACUUGGGCUGCUGGCUUUGCAAGGCAUUGGCAAGAAUAAUACCUAAGGUACAGCUUCAAGAAGGUGGCUUUGUUUUCUCCUCUGAGAAUAAGGGACUGAAAAAG
rnacentral:lncRNA from 10 species